CAGUAGCCACGGUAAUACGGAGGGAGCUAGUGUUGUUCGGAAUUACUGGGCGUAAAGCGCGCGUAGGCGGUUACUCAAGUCAGAGGUGAAAGCCCGGGGCUCAACCCCGGAACUGCCUUUGAAACUAGGUGACUAGAAUCUUGGAGAGGUCAGUGGAAUUCCGAGUGUAGAGGUGAAAUUCGUAGAUAUUCGGAAGAACAUCAGUGGCGAAGGCGACUGACUGGACAAGUAUUGACGCUGAGGUGCGAAAGCGUGGGGAGCAAACAGGAUUAGAGACCCCCGUAGUCCCUGUCUCUUAUAC
rnacentral:rRNA from 1 species